CCUACGGUGGGCUGCAGUGAGGAAUAUUGGUCAAUGGGCGCGAGCCUGAACCAGCCAAGUCGCGUGAGGGAAGACGGUCCUAUGGAUUGUAAACCUCUUUUGUCGGGGAGCAAAAGACGCCACGCGUGGCGUUCCGAGAUUACCCGAAGAAAAAGCAUCGGCUAACUCCGUGCCAGCAGCCGCGGUAAUACGGAGGAUGCGAGAGUUAUCCGGAUUUAUGGGGUUUAAAGGGUGCGCAGGCGGAAGAUCAAGUCAGGGGUAAAAUUGAGAGGCUCAACCUCUUCGAGCCGUUGAAACUGGUCUUCUUGAGUGAGUGAGAAGUAUGCGGAAUGCGUGGUGUAGCGGUGAAAUGCAUAGAUAUCACGCAGAACACCGAUUGCGAAGGCAGCAUACCGGCGCUCAACUGACGCUCAUGCACGAAAGUGUGGGUAUCGAACAGGAUUAGAUACCCUUGUAGUC
rnacentral:rRNA from 1 species